GAGCGCAGACGGCCAAGAGAGCCAUCUGUUGACAGUCUCAUGUUUUCCAACUGUCAUGGAGUUGCUCUCUUCAGAUGCCUGCGC
rfam:Gongylonema pulchrum genome assembly, scaffold: GPTH_contig0000836